GUAUGCAUAGCUCAGCGGUUAUAGCAUCCCUCCGGUUGGAGGUGGUCAUGGGUUUGAAUCCCAUUGCACACA
rnacentral:tRNA from 1 species